UACGUAGGGGGCAAGCGUUGUCCGGAUUUAUUGGGCGUAAAGAGCUCGUAGGCGGCUCAUCGCGUCUGCCGUGAAAACCCGCAGCUCAACUGCGGGCUUGCGGUUGAUAGGGGUGGGCUGGAGUUCGGUAGGGGAGACUGGAAUUCCUGGUGUAGCGGUGAAAUGCGCAGAUAUCAGGAGGAACACCAACGGCGAAGGCAGCGCGCUGGGACGGGACUGACGCUGAGGCGCGAAAGCGUGGGGAGCGAACAGG
rnacentral:rRNA from 1 species